UGACCUGCUUAAAGUACCUCCCCACACCGAUUUCUUUUUAGAAAAAGUGCUACACUUUGAAAUCCGAGCAAUUCUUCUGAUAGGAAAGUUGUUAACAGAUAAUAAUAAACAUCUUUGUUAAACCAAAUGCUUUCAAAUAAAUUCUGAGUGAAGCGAAGAACUCAGAAUCUAAAAUAUGGUAUAGGGUCAUAGGGGUCUAACUUAUCUCCACCUCCAAUCACACC